UGCAAAAUCCAAAUCUUUGAUAAUAUAUAUAGUAUUUGCAUAAAGAUUUAACAAUAAAAAUGUUUUUAUAACACGAUUUUACACAACAACAUUUUUUGUAGUGUAAGAUUAGAUGAAUAUGAUUGUAUAAGUAUAUGAUGUUAAGAUGAGAUGUUAUGAAAACAAUGAUAUGCAUACAUAAAUAUUUUAAUGAGUUGUUAUAUUUGAACGGUUGUGAUCUAAUACUAUACUAAACACUUAUUAUGUGUUAUUUUCAUAGUUUUGGCAUCUAAAUUUAUAGAUUUUUAUGUUUAAAAUUUUUUAGAAACACAUGUCCUCGGUAAUUCGUCGGAAUAUACCGACGACAUUCCGACGAACUUGUGUAGUUCGUCGGAAUAUCGUCGGUAAAUUCUGACGAAUUACCGAGGACAUUUCCAAACUUCAAUGGAACCCUUUGUCGUCGCUAUGUCGUCGGUAUUUUGCGAGGGAUUUCCGACGGAAACAUGGUUCGUCGGAAAUUCGUCAGAAAAUUCCGACGGAAUACCGACGACGGUAACAUUUGUAGUGUAAGAUUAGAUGAAUAUGAUUGUAUAAGUAUAUGAGUGUUAAGAUGAGAUGUUAUGAAAACAAUGAUAUGCAUACAUAAAUAUUUUAAUGAGUUGUUAUAUUUGAACGGUUGUGAUCUAAUACUAUACUAAACACUUAUUAUGUGUUAUUUUCAUAGUUUUGGCAUCUAAAUUUAUAGAUUUUUAUGUUUAAAUUUUUUUAGAAACACAUGUCCUCGGUAAUUCGUCGGAAUAUACCGACGACAUUCCGACGAACUUGUGUAGUUCGUCGGAAUAUCGUCGGUAAAUUCUGACGAAUUACCGAGGACAUUUCCAAACUUCAAUGGAACCCUUUGUCGUCGCUAUGUCGUCGGUAUUUUGCGAGGGAUUUCCGACGGAAACAUGGUUCGUCGGAAAUUCGUCAGAAAAUUCCGACGGAAUACCGACGACGGUAACAUUUGUAGUGUAAGAUUAGAUGAAUAUGAUUGUAUAAGUAUAUGAGUGUUAAGAUGAGAUGUUAUGAAAACAAUGAUAUGCAUACAUAAAUAUUUUAAUGAGUUGUUAUAUUUGAACGGUUGUGAUCUAAUACUAUACUAAACACUUAUUAUGUGUUAUUUUCAUAGUUUUGGCAUCUAAAUUUAUAGAUUUUUAUGUUUAAAUUUUUUUAGAAACACAUGUCCUCGGUAAUUCGUCGGAAUAUACCGACGACAUUCCGACGAACUUGUGUAGUUCGUCGGAAUAUCGUCGGUAAAUUCUGACGAAUUACCGAGGACAUUUCCAAACUUCAAUGGAACCCUUUGUCGUCGCUAUGUCGUCGGUAUUUUGCGAGGGAUUUCCGACGGAAACAUGGUUCGUCGGAAAUUCGUCAGAAAAUUCCGACGGAAUACCGACGACGGUAACAUUUAUAUCUCUCAAUCGGAAUGUCGUCGGAAGUUCGUCGGUAUAUUCCGACGAAUGUCCGACGACUACAACGGUUAUAUGUUUUAUCAGAAUGUCGUCGAAAAGUCGUCGGAAUAUUCCGACGAGCCAUUUUUCCUCUGAAAUUCGUCGGAAAUGGCCGACGGAAUUCCGACGACUUCAAAUUUUUUGUUUUCGUCGGAAAUUGGUCGGAAAUCCGUCACAAACGUCCGACGAAUUUUAAUCCGUCGGAACCUCCGUCGGAAUUCGGCGUUUUUUCUUGUAGUGAUGCCGUUUAAAAAUCAGAGGAUACAAGUUGGAUUGAAAGUUUAAUACUUUCUUAGAUUUGUGUAUGUCUUACACUUUGAACCGGUCAAAAAUAAUUAUGGUUGUGUAAUUAAUGACGACUAGAAAAAGUUCUCUAGCUCUCAAAAUAGGCGGUGGUAUGUAGAAGCAUUAUUUUUGCUAAAGUAAAAAUAUCCUUGUGACAUUCUAAUUAGUUGUCUAUCUAUUCUAUUAUUUAUGAAUUGAUUUGGCUUAUUUAUCACAUUCUCCAUAAUUUUAGUUAAUUUGCUUAUUUGUCAUAUUUUCCAUGAUUUUAAGAUAAAUCAUUAGUUUAAUUAAUAUUAUUAUUAAUUUUUUAAUAUUUUGAUAUCUAUAUAUUUAUCAUGAUAUUUAAAAUCAUGAUAAACAUGAACCUAUUUUACCGAUAUAUAUACUAAUAUUUUCUAAAAAAUAUUUUAAUAUAUAAUAAACAUGAUAUUUACGACAUUUAAUUAAUAAAAGAUAUUAAUAAUAUAUACCGAUAAUAUCAUCAUUACUUUUCUCUUAUUUAUAAUUUUAAUGACUAAUAUUAUAGCCAAUUUCUCUGAUUUUUUUACUGAAAAUAUUGAUCAAAUACAUAUUAUUAUAAAAUUUAUAUAUAAAUAUAUUAAUAUAUCUGAAUUAAAAUUUAAAAUUUCUAUCUAAUUCAAUUAUUAUUAUCUUAUAAAAAAUAGAAUUAAAAAUUGUUAGAUGUACAGAUAUAUUAAUCCGCACAAAGUGCGGGACAUCAACUAGUUAACUUAUUAUAUAAACAUAACAUAUUUCUCAAUCCUUUAUACUUACUAUUUUUAAAAAUUAAUGCCUCGGAUAUAUAUACUCUUGAAGACCUAUGAUUUUUACUAAAUCAAAUUAUCAAUCACCGUUAAUUAUACGAUAUGGGUCCAAUACUUUAUGUUAUUGUUCACUUUUAAAUGAAACUUUCCUGAUAUUUCUCUUUGGAUGCUGGCACGUGUAGUUACAGUCACAUUCAACCCUUAAAUUUUGGGCUAAUUUAAAACCCUAAGUUAUAUUUUAAACCCUAAGGUAACCUACCAAUUAUUUAGCUAGAACAGCGUAUUAAAUGAGAUACGAUCCAAAGUUUGUCUGCAUCCAAAAGACGACCCUAGUCGUUGACUUGUUUACCCAUAUUAAUCUUCUGGAAACUAUAGGAAACAUCGCAGGAUUUCAAGCAAACUGAUUGUAGAAAAAACAAACAAAUAUCAACACAAAUUUCAAGCUCGAAAAAAAAAGUUUCCAUGCUCGAAGAUGAAGUGACUAACGUAUUACCGUUGGUCGACUAGUUUAUUAUAAAUUAAGUUAUGGGCUGAUUAAAAAAAAAGUUAUGGGCUGAUAUAUAUAAUAAUAUUACUGCAAAUAUAGCUUUCUCAUUUUUUUGAUACUGUUUUAGAUGAAUUUUAAAUUAAAUUCAAACCAAAAAAGUAUUUUAUAAUAACUGCAUCAAUUUACAGAAAAAAAAAACGAACAAAAAAUUGACUUCAAGUAGAAAAUAUAUGUUCUUAGCGCUAUGUAGUUUAAGUUGUACACCAAAGACUCAGAACCUCUUUGUAAUUAAGCUUCCAUGGACUGGGUUGAGAUACGAUGGUUGCAUAUCUCCUUCACAUAUUGUAUGUAGACUCAUCUAUUUUUCUUCAGUCAUAUUCAGACUUUUAUCACGGUGUCUUUUUUUCUGCAAUGUGAUUGCACUAUAUGUGCUCAUACUUGCAUUAGUUGUAUUCUGAAAUUAAUUUAUUCCUUUGUAUCCGUUAUACUAUACAUAGUUAAGUCAGUACUGUUUUUCCUUAUAUUAAUAGUCUCAAAAGUUCAUAAUGCACCUUUUCAUCGGUAAUAAAUUAUCUUUUUACUUAACUUUAAUUUUAUUUACAACGAAAACGUAAUGUUAUGUCCUUGAUCGUGUGUAAUUAUUAUGUGGUCGUAACUUAGAAAAUUGUUUAUUUUAACGGGAAUUCUAAUAAUUUCAGUUAGCAAUACAAAAAAAAACUCUUAAAAUUUCCACUAGUUUAUUAAUUACUACAUGUAAAAGAUAUUCGAUAACAUAUGCCUCUAUAGUUAAUACAGCUCUACAAAUAAUUAAUAUUGAUGAAUAAAGUAGUAUAUAAGUAGGCAUCUAUGUGGCAUAUAGUCAAAGUAAACUUAAUAUGUGAACCCCGAAGAUGAGUAAAUUAAAAGGUAUGGGCGUUGCAUCCCAAAGAACGUGGUAUUUAUGGAAUUUUUCAACCAAAUUGCUUUUCUUUAUUUUUGUGGAAUCAUAACUUCAUAGCUUAGUACUAAAGUGCAUACAUAUCAUAUAUAUGUGAAUAUAGUUUUCUAUUCAUUUUAGAAGCUCAAUGCACGUCGGAAGAAAUAAUAAUUUUAGAAGCUCAAUGCACGCAGCCACGACGUGCUCCAACAUUCCCCUUGUUUCUUGUAGAUAUUUGGAUUCAACAAAAUAUUUUUUCUUAGUUUUGCCUUUGCUCAGUAAUUUAUUUUCUAAUGAAUUAGCCAAUAUAUUUCCUAGCGAGAAUUUCCAAUAUCUUUUUAAUGAGAAUUUACACACAUCUUAUACUAACAAAAAAAAUCAUAAAUAUAUAUUACCCCCAUAGAGCAUCUCCAAAAAAAAACUCUAUCUUGAAGUUUCCAAACUCUAUAUUUGAAGUUUAAAUAUGCUUUUGGAGAAAAGCAAAACUUUAAACUCAACUUCAAAACUAUUUAUAUUUUAUAAUAUGGUCGUUUUAUUUUUCAUAACUAAUUUGAAUUCAUAAAACUUUUGUAAAUAACGAGCACAUAUAUAAACAUAUUACAACAAUAUUAAUUAAUAAAAUAUUAUAUUAAAUAUUAAAAUUUAAAUAAAAAUAACUUAAUUAAUAUUAAACUUCAAACAAAAUACCAUAUUAUUUCAUAAAAUGAUUUUUGUAAUGCAUAUAUGAUAUAUUAGUGCAUUUUAAAGUAAAAAUGACUCUCCUAUUUUUUUAUUUUGUAGAUUACGAGCUAAAAGUUGUUAAAAUCGGGUAAUAUUGAUACUUGUAAAUACAUUAGAUCGAUUACUAGACUGAAGAGUCGGGGGCUUAAUCAGUUGGAGGAUGUUUGUCUAUGGAAGAGGGAAAAUGGGGAGUUCAAAGAAGGGUUUGUUACAUCCCAAACUUGGAACCUGAUUAGAUGUAAGUCUCCAACAGUCUUUUGGUCUAAAGGAAUUUGGUUUACUGAGGCUACACCAAAAUUCUCUUUUAUAGCUUGGCUAGCUGCUCAUAACAGACUAGCAACGGGUGAUAGAAUGCUUCGUUGGAACCCACAAGCUAUCUCCACCUGUUGGCUGUGUAAUACGGAUAUUGAAACAAGGGAUCAUCUCUUUUUUGAAUGUCCCUAUUCUAAAGAAGUUUGGAAUGGUACGGUGAGGAGUCUGGCAGGCAUGGGAAGGAUCCAUCAAUGGGGCAGUGUAAUCCGGUUUAUUUCAAAUGGGAAUCAAGGGAGAAGCAUUAAUUUUUUGAUGAGAUACUGCUUUCAAGUGGUGAUUUAUGCUAUCUGGCAUGAGAGGAAUAUCAGGAGAGUAGGAGAACGUCCUCAACCAGCAGCUUGUCUGAUUAACCGAUUGGACAAAAUUGUGAGAAAUAGAGUUACUUCACUUCGAAAGACUGUAGGUGGGAAGCAUGAGAAGACCAUGGAGCUAUGGUUUGCAAGGAUUUAAAUGAGGCAGCUUGUCUUUAGUUGAGAAUUUUGUAGUUUGAGUUAUGUGAUGAGUUUGUAAAGAAAGUAGCAGUGAAACUCUGUACCAAGGUUUUUUUUGAAUAAAUUUAAAAUUCUUUCAAAAAAAAAAAGUAAAUACAUUAGAUCGGAACAAGAAAGUAAAAGAGAAGCAUAAAAUAUUGCUAAAAAAUUAAUUUAUUUUCGAUGAUAUUAAUACUCGUGAAUAUAAUCGAUAAGAACAAGAAAGAAUUGAACGAAAAAGACAUCAAAAACAA